rnacentral:rRNA from 1 species
GACGAACGCUGGCGGCGCGCCUAAUACAUGCAAGUCGAGCGAAUGGAAGGGAGCUUGCUCCCUGAAGUUAGCGGCGGACGGGUGAGUAACACGUGGGCAACCUGCCUGUAAGACUGGGAUAACUUCGGGAAACCGGAGCUAAUACCGGAUACGUUCUUUUCUCGCAUGAGGAAAGAUGGAAAGAUGGUUUCGGCUAUCACUUACAGAUGGGCCCGCGGCGCAUUAGCUAGUUGGUGGGGUAAUGGCCCACCAAGGCGACGAUGCGUAGCCGACCUGAGAGGGUGAUCGGCCACACUGGGACUGAGACACGGCCCAGACUCCUACGGGAGGCAGCAGUAGGGAAUCUUCCGCAAUGGACGAAAGUCUGACGGAGCAACGCCGCGUGAGCGAAGAAGGCCUUCGGGUCGUAAAGCUCUGUUGUCAGGGAAGAACAAGUGCCAGAGUAACUGCUGGCACCUUGACGGUACCUGACCAGAAAGCCACGGCUAACUACGUGCCAGCAGCCGCGGUAA